UAGGGAAUCUUCGGCAAUGGGGGCAACCCUGACCGAGCAACGCCGCGUGAGUGAAGAAGGUUUUCGGAUCGUAAAGCUCUGUUGUAAGUCAAGAACGGGUGUGAGAGUGGAAAGUUCACACUGUGACGGUAGCUUACCAGAAAGGGACGGCUAACUACGUGCCAGCAGCCGCGGUAAUACGUAGGUCCCGAGCGUUGUCCGGAUUUAUUGGGCGUAAAGCGAGCGCAGGCGGUUUGAUAAGUCUGAAGUUAAAGGCUGUGGCUCAACCAUAGUUCGCUUUGGAAACUGUCAAACUUGAGUGCAGAAGGGGAGAGUGGAAUUCCAUGUGUAGCGGUGAAAUGCGUAGAUAUAUGGAGGAACACCGGUGGCGAAAGCGGCUCUCUGGUCUGUAACUGACGCUGAGGCUCGAAAGCGUGGGGAGCGAACAGGAUUAGAUACCCUGGUAGUCCACGCCGUAAACGAUGAGUGCUAGGUGUUGGAUCCUUUCCGGGAUUCAGUGCCGCAGCUAACGCAUUAAGCACUCCGCCUGGGGGAGUACGACCGCAAGGUUGAA
rnacentral:rRNA from 1 species